rnacentral:rRNA from 1 species
UACGUAGGGACCAAGCGUUGUUCGGAUUUACUGGGCGUAAAGGGCGCGUAGGCGGCAUGACAAGUCACUUGUGAAAUCUCCGGGCUUAACUCGGAACGGCCAAGUGAUACUGUCAAGCUAGAGUGCAGAAAGGGCAGUCGGAAUUCUUGGUGUAGCGGUGAAAUGCGUAGAUAUCAAGAGGAACACCUGAGGCGAAGGCGGGUUGCUAGGCUGACACUGACGCUGACAGCGCGAAAGCCAGGGGAGCAAACGGG